rnacentral:lncRNA from 1 species
ACUGGCGGGGAGUUCUCUAAUCACAGUGGCUGCCACAGCUUUUACUUUUCCAGCAUUUCUUUCUUAUUCAAGUCCUGAAUUUCCGGCCAUGGAUACCAUCCAAGAAGUCACAAGGAGCACACACCCGGAGAGCCGGCUGCAGGGUGGAAACAAGAAAACUGCGGGCAGCUAAGACGGGGCCAGAAGGUCACGAGGGAGUUCUGUUUUCCUCCACGGAAUAAACGGAGCCCCUCUCCGUGGAUGAGCCGGUGGUAGAGCUCUGUGUGGCCGACCCAGACCAAGAGGUGUGGGCUCCCGUGGGUGUAUGGCUUCCGCUGGAGGAAAAGGAUGACAAGGAUUUGCUGCAGGAAUGAACAUGAGCAAAGAAAUCACAUUUGCUGGAAGGGCUUGGAUGGCUAAGUGGCUUCACUUUUCUGAGCCUGCUUCCUCUUUCUUUCAUUAAAUAUAUUUAUUAAUUUCACAGUAUACUAAUUUUGAAAUAUUUUUACAGUGUGAUGUUUACACUAGGUUAAAAAUAAAACUGCAUCUUACUUUUAGAAAUUCAUGGCCAGUCACUAACUUCCUUCCCACAUUUGUUACGGGCAUUUUGUGAUUUUGUAAUCUGAAGCAAGGUGAAUUCUUACCAGGUAUAUUUAUCAAUGGCUUUCUGCACAUUUCUUGUAAAAUGCGUAGGUAAAGAAUCUUUGCUCCUCACAGUAAAACCGUGCCUUCUACGUCCUUCUGACAGUCCUCUUCUGGAAAUAAAAUAAA